ensembl:lncRNA
GGGAUAGCAGAUACUCAGGCGAUGAAUGGUUGAGAGCGCAGGUCUGAUAUACUGCUGGCAUGAUUGCUCACAGGUGGUCAGCCAGGGAGGAGCAACCGAACUCCGCCCAAAGGAGGAGGGGCCACUGUCGGAGACCUGCAGGUGCCCACCCAGACCAUGACACCGUGUCAACAAACCCAGGCAAUCCUUUUCCAUAACUGCAAACAUGAAUGCAGACAUGCAGCCCCAAUCAGACUUCAGAAGGCAAUGAACUAUGGCAGCGUGUGAUUAAGAUCUCUGCUUCACAAACACAGGUAGUGCUGCUUUUCCAUUACAUAAGUUGAUAUGAGAGCUCUCAUCAGCGAAGCAGAAUGAGACAGACUUAUGAAGACCAUCUCCUCCUCGAUUAAAUCGUCUCUGAGCAGAUAUUUUUAGAAGAGGAUUAAUUUUAAUGGCUGAGAUAAGAAGUAAGUUGUGGGUGGAGAAGGGACAAAUAAAUAAGUAAAUAGGACAUGCCGCAAAACAGGAGGCAUCGGUGGUGGUGGUGGAGGGUAAUGUGGCAGUUGUUGCGAGGCCCUGGGCAGAUCCACUGAUCUAGCAGAGAUAGAGAGGCCUUUCAUGUUUUCUCCCAGAGCUGGAGUGAUGUAAAAAUCAAAGAGAAAACCAAUGUUUGUCUUUAACGCCUCUCCCUCAUGACCUUUCAUAAAGGAACAGGUUGUCAGUUUAAAUGCUGCAUUUCUACUUUUUUUAGUUUCUAAAAAAAAAAAUGGCCAAAAGGUGAAUAGAAAAAGGAUAUAAAUUAGAUUAAAAUUAAAUGGGUUAUGUAAUUCUGAUUUUUAUUAAAUUUAACUACAGACAGACCUUUUUAUAGCAGAGAUCUUUACCAAUACUCGAAUGCAUCCAACUUUAUAACAAGUAUCAUAUUGUCUGCAAUCAUACCAGCAUAAUUGUUAUGUAAUAAUAUCAUUAUUAUAGCAAUACCGUCCGUUUUUGUUCCCCAGUGUGCACAACAACAAUCAAACCCAGGCAUGUCUGAGAGUAAGAGCCUCAUAACAGCCUUUGAUGACAAUUUAGGACCUAAAAAGGAGCCACUUCAACAACCUCUAACAAAUCUCAGUACUUCAGGUCUCCACCCAGCAGUCCUCGUAAAAUGUGAAAAUAUGUUGAUGGUGUCAUCAAACUGCGCCUGUUUUGGAAGACUGUUGCGACGUCGGUCAUAUGCACCUGCAGUUGAAUGUUAGCUGUUUUAAUUUUUUCAGAAAUCUCUCAGUCAGAACAUGCUAUAUCAUGUUUAGGUGGAAGCUAGCAAGCUAACUUCCUGCUAACUUUGGAUGCCUGGAUGUUAAACUUAAUUGUUACAUCUUGUAAAGCAGCAAAGCUGACCAUUUUAUUAAAGAUUAAAGAAUUUAGACAGUUUUUAACUCUCAGUGAUGCCACAGUGUUCGUUAGACUUUGGGAGCUGAAGCAAAUGGAGUUUUGGACCCAGAUUACUUCCCGAGGCUCCUGACUACGGUAGCCAUAAUGAUCCGAAACCCCAUCAAGCGGUGCAGCCAUUCGUAGCGUACCAAAGUUGUACUAAAAGAUUUGACAGAUUUUUUUAGCAUAAGGUGCACCAAAUUAUAAGGUGCACUGUCGAUCUUUGAGAAAAUCAAAGAAUUUUAAGUGCGCCUUAUGGUGUGAAAAAUACGGUUUACAGAAGAAAAGAAUAUAUCACAAUAUAUAUUGUUACUGCACAUGCUUCAAAUUACAUUGCAAUAUGGAUUUUAGGCCAUAUCGCCCAGCCCUACCCACAUGCAAACAAAAAACACCACUUGAAACCUCAAUAAGAUGUUCUGAUUGCUCUAAUCAGAGCUGCACAGAUACAGAUGAAGAUCCACUUCAAGAACUGAAUGUUUAUUUCCAGGUGUCAUUGACUUUAAUGUUGUGACUGAUGAAUUUAUACAGAGUUUUUAUACAGCCUAUACUGAGUUUUCAUAUGACUAUCAUCAGUAAAUAGAAGGAGAAAAAAGUUGUAUUUAUCAACUUCACAAAACAAUACCAGUAAGAUCGAGUAUUAUUAAAUAAACUGUAAGUGUUUAUAGAGACACAAUGUUUUGAAAUAAUUUUGUCUAAAGGCAAAGAAAGCUUCCCUGCAAAAAUCAACAAAAACAGGAUUUUAUUUUAAUGUAAAGGAACCAAUACAGUUAAACCUUUAAGCAUUUUAUUCACACGCAUCAGCUGGUGAUAUAUACACAUGAUUUUGUAUUCCAGUCUUUCAUAUGUUAUAAGAACAUCGCCUACAAUGAUGCGUCAUUGAGAAGUGUGCAGAGCUGACCUUUAUAACAUCACAAAACCACAACACAGUCGAGCUGCUUGUGAAGAAAGCUGAAAAGAAAAAGCAGAAAAUGGCACAUCCCACCAAAAAUACAACAAUGCACAGGUAACAUCCGCUCUAUAUGAAACUCUGAAUAUGCCAGCAGCAACUUUAUAAUGUGGUGUAUGAGAAUAGCUCCCACUGUGUGAAAAGCAGGACAAAGAAUUAUGCUGCAUUGGCAGUCUGGCUCCUUGAAUCCCUCUUCACUUUAGGAAUGAGAACAGCUUCCACUGCGGUAAGGGUGAAAACAAAAACAAAAACAGGUUUCAAUUACUGGCUCCCUGCUGCAGGUGUGGGAAAAUAUUUGUUUAUUUAAGGUCAAGGUAAAAAGGAGAAAAUCUGUGUGUAAAUCAAGUGUAACUGGCUCACUUAGAGAGCACUCACUGCUACACCGACACACGAACAGAGGUUACAUGAAGAGGAAGUCAUAGACAAUAACUCUCUGCCUUGCUUUUUAGACUAGCUCAACUGAUCCUUUGUAUCUGUUUUCUGAAAAAAAUAACACAGUUUUACUCUUAAUUAAUAGAGCACCAAUUCAGUGAACUCACUGUAUUGUCAUCAGGGUCAUUCAGUGUCAAUUGACCAAAUGCUUACAGCUUGACCAUCUCUGAUUUCGUUGAUCUUGAUGCUUUGAUGUACAGUAAGAUAGUGAAAUAAAAUUAUAGUAAAUGCA